rnacentral:rRNA from 1 species
CGGGUGAGUAAUGCCUAGGAAUCUGCCUGGUAGUGGGGGACAACGUUUCGAAAGGAACGCUAAUACCGCAUACGUCCUACGGGAGAAAGUGGGGGAUCUUCGGACCUCACGCUAUCAGAUGAGCCUAGGUCGGAUUAGCUAGUUGGUGAGGUAAAGGCUCACCAAGGCGACGAUCCGUAACUGGUCUGAGAGGAUGAUCAGUCACACUGGAACUGAGACACGGUCCAGACUCCUACGGGAGGCAGCAGUGGGGAAUAUUGGACAAUGGGCGAAAGCCUGAUCCAGCCAUGCCGCGUGUGUGAAGAAGGUCUUAGGAUUGGAAAGCACUUUAAGUUGGGAGGAAGGGCAGUAAGUUAAUACCUUGCUGUUUUGACGUUACCGACAGAAUAAGCACCGGCUAACUUCGUGCCAGGCCAGCCGCGGUAA